rnacentral:lncRNA from 1 species
AAAUUUCUCUGUCUGGGUAGUAGCUUCCAGAGCUUGAUGUUGCGAUUUCUAUAGUGCUUUCCUUGCGAUUUGAAGUGAGUGGGACGCCUUCUUGAUACGGGAGGUUGUCUAUGUGAGCGACAAGGCGCGACUCGUAGUCAUGGGUAAGGAGAGAUGGCCUCAUCCCUGGCCAGUAAAUGAAUCUGCCUUGUGGUGUUGAAGUAACUACCAGACCUUGAGCUGGUCCUGAUAAUGGAAUU